rnacentral:tRNA from 1 species
AAUCUGGAGAUCGGGCGUUCGACUCGCCCCCGGGAGACUCUCGGUAGCCAAGUUGGUCUAAGGCGCCAGACUGUAAU